UGGGGAAUCUUGAGCAAUGGGCGGCAGCCUGACUCAGUGAUGUUAUGUGGGUGAUGAAGGAUAGUUCGUAAAACCCUAUAGGUACGUAAGACUACAUGGAUAUGUUGCGACUAGAAAAAGUUCCGGCCAAUACCUGUGCCAGCAGUCGCGGUAAGACAGGAGGAGCGAGCGUUAUUCAGCUUGAUUGGGCGUAAAGGAUACGUAGGUGGUAUAUCAAACUAUUUGUUGAAAUUCUGGAACUAAAACUUGCAGGAGUCGCUAUUAGAAUGAAUAUACUGGAGUUGUGAAGGUGUCUUGGGAAUUUCCUGAGAAGUGAUAAAAUACUAUGAUACUGGAAGGAACAUUGGGGGCGAAAGCAUUUGGCAAUUCAUCUCUGACGCUGAGGUAUGAAGGUGUGGGGAGCAAACG
rnacentral:rRNA from 1 species